CUGCUUUGCUGACCUCCUGCCUUCUGCCUGCCGUGAACUGUGAUGCCCCUCUGCCAUGCCACCUGCCUUGGAGCCAGCCAGCUAUGGACUGAAACCUGCACAAACUGGUCAUCUUCAGCUCCAGGGCUCCAGGGAUUCUGCCAACUCAUCUGUCCAUGCAGCUGGGACUGUAGGUACCAUCAAGCACCCAGAUGAGCCUCGGUGUGGGGACCUAUGGCCAGACUCAAGGCACUUGAGGAAGAUGGUGGACUGCCUCCUUCACGCCUACCCUACUGAGUGAUCGGAGCAGCCAGCAGGGUCCUGAGAGGAGAUGACAGGAGAUUUAAGGAAAGUUAAAAGAUCAUACUGUUUUAACUCAGGGUUUCCCUUCAGGAAGGACCACACCAGCCCUCAGGUAUUGCAAACAUUUAUUCUUCUGUCCUAGGAAAUUGCUCUGUGGUGACAAACAUGGGUCAUCUUCCAGGUCAUAGGUGGUGGCUUUGUCUCAGCACUUCUGAUGCUGCAUUUCUGAGUGGCUAGAAUAUCUCGUCUUCUGUCAUCACUGAUAAAAUUUUUACUCUUCUAGUUCACCCACCCCAGCCUGCCUCACGAGGUCUGCGAUGCUUUUCUACAGAUGAUCAAUGCAACUACUCAUCAUCAAUUCUUGCAAUGAUCUGGUCAGAUAUAGUUUGAAAUGUAUCCUGCAUCUGCUGCAAGAGGGUCUGCACUCUGGCCCUGAAUCAAGGCUGGCAGCUUUCUGACGCUGUUGGUUUCAAGCAGGAGCCUAAAGAGAUGUCUUUCUAUGGUCUGUUGGCCAUUUCAGAACUUGGGCAGUGAAAUGGUCAAUUCACUAGAAAGAAACAGCUUGAAGCACCCCCCCCCCCACAACCCAGGGUGAGCGGCUGUGAGCGUGGCAGAAUGUGGCAGCCCAGGACAGGAGCCACCAGACCUAGAGCACCAGGAAACCAGGCAACUCCUCCCCACCUGUUUGUUUUGUCGAACUUCAUUAUACAUGAAAGCAUGGACAGCUAUUUUGAAGAGAACAAGAGACUCUACUGACAGCCGUUAGUGACUUCCCUAUUGUCUGGUUUUGAAGAUGUAAAAUGCCUUCCUCAUUCUGUUCGGAUCAGUUUUAGACUAUGUUGUUUUGUAUGAAUUCUCUGUAUGUG